rnacentral:rRNA from 1 species
GAAGUAAAAGUCGUAACAAGGUUUCCGUAGGUGAACCUGCGGAAG